rnacentral:rRNA from 1 species
UACGAAGGGGGCUAGCGUUGUUCGGAUUUACUGGGCGUAAAGCGCACGUAGGCGGAUUGUUAAGUCGGGGGUGAAAUCCUGGAGCUCAACUCCAGAACUGCCUUCGAUACUGGCAAUCUCGAGUCCGGAAGAGGUAAGUGGAACUCCUAGUGUAGAGGUGGAAUUCGUAGAUAUUAGGAAGAACACCAGUGGCGAAGGCGGCUUACUGGUCCGGUACUGACGCUGAGGCGCGAAAGCUAGGGGAGCAAACAGG